GCGGCAGUAGCUCAGUGGUGGAGCACCGCUUCGCAUGCGGGGAGACCGGUGUUCGAUUCCCGGCUGCUUCG
rnacentral:tRNA from 1 species